rnacentral:lncRNA from 1 species
ACGCCAGAUCGAUUCCUUGUUCGCCCCCAAUCCAUUCCCCACCAAAAGCCGUCAAGCCGGAGGCGGAGGAGGAAGGAGAUCGAGCGGAGGCGACGCAGCCGGAGAUGAAGACUUUCGACCCGUGGCCGGUGUUCUUCCGCCGGGAGUGGCGCCGCAACUGGCCCUUCCUCACCGGCUUCGCCAUCACCGGUUUCCUCAUCACCAAGAUGACGGCCAACUUCACCGAGGAGGACCUCAAGAACUCCAAGUUCGUCCAGGAGCACAAGAAGCACUGAUGGGACCAGGUGAGACGCCCCCGCCUCCCUCGUCGGCGAGAUCCGUGCAUCUAUGUAU